CCGGCAGCAGCCAGCCCAACCUGCCCUCCCUUCUCUUCUCUUCUCUUCUGUAUCCCUUUUCUUCUUUCCGCCACACCUUGCCGAGCCGCCGCCCACGCGAGCGCCCGUGCGCCCCUGCCCUCUCGAUCGAUCUCCAGGCUGCAGCGUGAGCUCGUUCACGCUCCAGAAACCACGCCGCCCUUCUCCCUCAUCUUUUUGCCCUUUUUCUUUUGGAAUUUUUUUCUCUCUUUCGCAUAAAAGUUGCGAGGGAAGAGUUCUUAUCGAAAUCAAAUACGGAGUAAGCUUUUUUAAUCUGAAACAUAAACCCCAAUCCACUGGCCACCCCUACCCCUUGGCCCCUAUAUAAAGCUAGCCCCAAGCCUUUGCAAAACCUUAGACGGAGAGCUCCACUAAGUUUUUGAGAUCCAAGUAAACUAGAGGGUUGUAGAGGCCGGGGAGCUCCCCCUUCUCGAAAAAAAGAGAGUAAAUUAGAGGGAGAAGAACUAGAUUACAAAAGGAGCUUCUAGUUAAGACCAAAGGAGAGACUCUAAUUGGAGAGGGAAAUCAAGAUCAUCUUCUUUUCUUCUGUUCUCGGCAUUUAGGACAAUAUAACCUUCAUUACAUACAGAUAUUAGUACAGCCGAGAGACAAACAUGAAGGGAGAAUCAAAAGUCCUUUAUGGAUCAACUUCUAAGAGAAGGAAAAGAUCGCAGCUACAACUCUGCAAUCUUCCCAUGAAUAUUUUGUGCUCUGUCAUAUCAAAAUUGCCAACCAAAGAUGCUAUAAGAACAAGCGCAUUAUCAAGCCAGUGGAUAUAUGUGUGGCGUGAUCACACCGAUCAGCUAGUUUUUGAUCGCUUCACAUUUAAACGUCGCCGUCGUGGUAAAUUCUCCCCUUAUUACUACGUAAGUGUCAAGCAAGAGGAAUUCAAUGCCAGAGUUGAUGCGGUCUUGCGGCAACACAGUGGUGAAGGCGUCGAGCGCAUGCAGAUUAUGUAUGCUUAAGACAAUCAGCAUGCUGAUCAUCUAGAUAGAUGGGUGAACUUUGCUAUUGGAUCGAAAACAAAAGGCCUUACUCUGUACUUAUCAGAUCAUAGAACUAAAUCAUUUGUCAUGUACAGAGAGGGGUCAUAUAUUUUUCCAAGGUUAAAGGAGAUAUACAACUUCCCUUGCCAGUUCUUUGAUUCUAGCAACAGCUCGUACUUGCGUGAUCUGCAGCUUGCUUCUGUCAACCUGAGGCCGCUUGCUCGUUUCAACGGCUUUCCAAACCUCAGAAGACUUAGCUUGGUAGAUGUUGAUAUUGCAGACGAAGAUCUUGAGAAUUUUCUUUCCCACUGCAAACUCCUGGAGUUUCUUGAGAUUGCGUAUUGUGGAAUGCUCACAGCAAUACGGGCAACUCAUCUGCUGAACAAGCUGAAGCAUUUGAGGGUGGGAGUCUGUGACCUACUUGAAAAGGUGGAGAUGAACUGCUGCUGCCUAACAACACUUGAGUACAUUGGCCAAAUGGUAUCUCUAGCAUUUGCAGAAACUUCCAGCCUGACGAAUGUGUGUAUUAAGUUCAUGGCUAUUGAUGCUGCUCUUGACUACAUCAACAAGGGGUUCCCUAGCACUUUGCCAAAUGUUGAGAUUCUCUACCUUCCUUGCAUAGACAGUGAGAGAGUAACUUUGCCUCUUAAGGCCUCUCAAAUUUGUCCAUCUUCGGCAUUUGAGAUUGGAGUUAAUUAUUUCUGAACGCAAAGUCAGGAAAACUGACGUCCUUGAUUAUGCCCAUCUCUUGGAGGUUGCUCCAUUCAUGGAAACACUGGAUCUGCAUAUGUGGAUGGACUGUCCUCACCAACCGUACGAUUGCAGGACAGAUGGCGAACUAAGGAGUAAUCUUCCCUCGAAUCAGCAUGGCCGUCUUAAAUGGGUUUACAUCACUGGCUUUUCGGCCAUAAAGAUCAGGUGGAGCUAGCGCUACAAAUUCUUCGCAGUUCAGCUGUGCUCAAGAGGAUGAGGAUAGAUUCACGGGUGAUAAUAUUACAUGAAUGUGCUGGUGAGAUGAUAGAGGUUUAUAGCAAACGUCACGUUUUGGAUGGCCGCAUGAUCGCAAUGGAUUUAUUUUGUGGCGCGGACCAUGGAGAUAUUGUAGAAGUUGUGGGAGCGUAUAACGUGGUUCCCGAGCCGAGUAUUCGUCCAUUAGGGGAAUAAGAGUGUUUCACGUGAAAAUAUAAGGUCUCCUGUAACCCCAUUGGAAAAGGAUUCACGAUCACCUGAUCUGGAGACUGGAGCGAGCUCGCACCCUCAAUUCUUAGGCUGUUAUUUCUGGAGUGAAUACCCUUCCAAACUGGUAACCCGCGCCACGGGAUCCAGUUACCUCUCCUGUUUUUUAUUGUCCCCUGCGCCCCUGCCCGUCAUGUACUCAUGUUGUCUACACUCUACAGCACGCCACAUCAGUCGUCGGGCCUUGUUUGUGAUAUGAAGCUCACCGUUAGGGAAGAAAAAUAGGCUUGAUUGAACAAUGACAGACCUGAAGUCUGAACCCAAGUGCGCCUUUGCUGUCAACUUGUUCCAUGAGUUCUCCUAAUAAUCGGGGGUGCUUCUUG